rnacentral:rRNA from 1 species
CGAACGCGAAAGGGGGGCAACCCCCGAGUAGAGUGGCGAACGGGUGAGUAAUACAUCGGAACGUACCCAGUAGCGGGGGAUAACCUCUCGAAAGAGAGGCUAAUACCGCAUACGACCUACGGGUGAAAGAGGGGGAUCGCAAGACCUCUCACUAUUGGAGCGGCCGAUGUCGGAUUAGCUAGUUGGCGGGGUAACGGCCCACCAAGGCGACGAUCCGUAGCUGGUCUGAGAGGACGGCCAGCCACACUGGAACUGAGACACGGUCCAGACUCCUACGGGAGGCAGCAGUGGGGAAUUUUGGACAAUGGGCGCAAGCCUGAUCCAGCCAUGCCGCGUGAGUGAAGAAGGCCUUCGGGUUGUAAAGCUCUUUCGGCUGGGACGAAAAGGUCCGUGUUAACACCACGGAUCCAUGACGGUACCAGCAGAAGAAGCACCGGCUAACUACGUGCCAGCAGCCGCGGUAAUACGUAGGGUGCAGGCGUUAAUCGGAAUUACUGGGCGUAAAGCGUGCGCAGGCGGUUUGCUAAGAGAGAUGUGAAAUCCCCGGGCUUAACCUGGGAACUGCGUUUCUAACUGGCAAGCUAGAGUGUGGCAGAGGGGGGUGGAAUUCCACGUGUAGCAGUGAAAUGCGUAGAGAUGUGGAGGAACACCGAUGGCGAAGGCAGCCCCCUGGGCUAACACUGACGCUCAUGCACGAAAGCGUGGGGAGCAAACAGGAUUAGAUACCCUGGUAGUCCACGCCCUAAACUAUGUCAACUGGUUGUCGGGGAAGCAAUUCCUUGGUAACGAAGCUAACGCGUGAAGUUGACCGCCU